UCCAGGGGAAAUCUAAGGCCCAGAAAGAGGAAGAGGCUGUUCCCUGAGGCUGAGGGAAGUGUUAUUAUGGAUUCUGUUCACCUCUGAAGCUUCUGGAACUUGGGAGAAGUCUCAGUAAAGGGGAAGCCCGUGGAGAACCUGGAACACUGUCGUGAUGAUUCUGACCCUUGGUACUCUUCUCUCCAUUCUCACAGCCAAAGAUCUGAGGAGGAUUUGUGCUUUUUGAAGCAAAAUGAUUCGGGUAAUUCUGAUGCACUCAAGAAAAGUCUUCUCAGAAAACAAAAGAAGACAUGUUCUUCCCCUUCAGAUUAAGCAAUCCUAGGGAAUGAUCUCAAAGGCUUCAUUUUAUUGGUACAAUUAAUCACUGGCCGUUCUUUCCGAUGACUCAUGCACAUUGGGAUUUGGAAAUUUCUUGGUCCGCUUGGGAAUACGUUGCCUUCGCUGCUGGGAGGCCAGAGGAGCCUCCCUGCUGACUUCAGACCCUAGAAGCUCUGAGGUCAGUGAUGACGACCAGGAGAAAGCAGGAGGAAGAGAAAGGGCGCCUUCUAGUUGCCAGGAUGGAGCCGAUCAGAAGCCCAGAUAUCUCCCUCCUGCCUCAGACCACCCAACAGAUGCCCCAUGACGAGCACAGUUAUCAGGAUGAGCACUGAACAAUGUGGACAAUUGCUGAACCGCUAUGCUGCACACCUGAAGCUAAUAUAAUACUGGAAUUAAAAUUGUCUUUUUUUUAAAGAUUUUAUUUAUUUAUUUGUCAGAGAGAUCACAAUUAGGCAGAGAAGCAGGCAGAGAAAGGGGGGAAAGCAGGCUCCCUGCUGAGUAGAGAGCCCAAUGUGGGGCUCGAUCCCAGGACCCCGAGAUUAUGACCUGAGCCGAAGGCAGAGGCUUAACCCAUUGAGCCACCCAGGCGCCCCUAAAAUUGUUUUGAAAAGGUACUUUGAGGCAGUCUAGGACCAAGGAAAAGGCAGGCCUGGGGGGCUCUUGCCCUGUUCUUAAUUUAGUGGUUCCCAUGCUUUACACUCAGGCAAUGCAGAGCUGUUGGCUGAGGGCAGAAGAGAGACUGGGACAUACAGAUGGGUCGGUUACGUUUAUGUAUUUGAGGGAUUACUCCAGAGUGUCACACCUUCUUUGAAAUCAGAGAUGGAAGAGUCUCACAGAGGGGCCACCGCAGACCUUCUGCCUCAAGACACCAGACAGUAAGGCUGUUUUGUGUUGUUUCCUUUCAGAGGUAACCCCCACACACAACUGCAGUUGCCGCUUACAGAAAGCAAGCUAAGCUUUCUUCUGAGCUAAAAGGACCCAGUGGGUUAACGCUCUGCUUUCAGCUUAGGUCAUGACCUCAGGAUACUGGGAUCAAGCCCCACGUCAGGCUCUCUGCUCAGCAUAGAACCUUCCUUCCCCUUUCUCUCUGCCUACUUGUGAUCUCUCUCUGUGUCAAAUAAAUAAAUAAAAUAUUUUUUAAAAAAUAAAAGGGGGCACCUGGGUGGCUCAGUGGUUAAGCGUCUGCCUUCGGCUCAGGUCAUGAUCUCAGGGUCCGGGGAUGGAGCCCCGCAUCAGGCUCUCUUCCCUUCCUCUCUCUCUCUUCCUGCCUCUCUGCCUACUUGUGAUCUCUGUCAAAUAAAUAAAUAAAAUCUUAAAAAAAAAUUUUUUUUUAAUUAAAAAAAAUAAAA